rnacentral:rRNA from 1 species
AUUGAACGCUGGCGGCAGGCCUAACACAUGCAAGUCGAGCGGAUGAAGGGAGCUUGCUCCUGGAUCCAGCGGCGGACGGGUGAGUAAUGCCUAGGAAUCUGCCUGCUAGUGGGGGAUAACGUCCGGAAACGGGCGCUAAUAACGCAUACGUCCUGAGGGAGAAAGUGGGGGAUGUUUGGACCUCACGCUCUCAGAUGAGCCUAGGUCGGAUUAGCUAGUUGGUGGGGUAAAGGCCUACCAAGGCGACGAUCCGUAACUGGUCUGAGAGGAUGACCAGUCACACUGGAACUGAGCCACGGUCCAGACUCCUACGGGAGGCAGCAGUGGGGAAUAUUGGACAAUGGGCGAAAGCCUGGUCCAGCCAUGCCGCGUGUGUUAAAAAGGUCUUCGGAUUGUAAAGCACUUUAAGUUGGGAGGAAGGGCAGUAAGUUAAUACCUUGCUGUUUUGACGUUACCGGCAGAAUAAGCACCGGCUAACUUCGUG